GGUUCUGAAGGAGGAUGAGAAUUUAUAAUUAUUACUAACUCCUUAGAAGAUGGCAUAAAAACACUUUAUCUUUUAAUUCCAGUUUGAAGGUAAGAAGCUGCUCAUAAAAGAAGGUUAUUCUAUUUAAGUAAUUGUUCAGCACAACUUACCUUAAUUUACUUGUCUUUGUAAAAUAACCACAUCUCUCUUAUAUGCAUCAUGAUGGUUCGUUCAAUACAAGUACUAAAAAUACUACUACUAAUUAUAUUUCUGUGAUAAUCCUCUAUGUAAUUCCAAUAAUUCAAGGUAUUGCAUUAUUGUUUGUUACUAGGAUAAAUAUCUCUUUUAUUCUCAAAUUAUAAUAUUUAAAAGCUCCAAAGGCAUCCUCUCAAGAAAUAAGUAGUUGGUAACAGAAUAAAGAAGGGUAUCAAAGCAUUCUCAUUGUUCUUUCCCUUUUCCAAAAGUCCAAAUGAGUCACACCCAUAGGUCCAGAAUCAAAGACUCUUGGAGAUGAAGUCCAAACUCUAAUAUAAUCACAACAUAAUAUACCACUCAAGUUG
rnacentral:lncRNA from 1 species